GACGAACGCUGGCGGCGUGCUUAACACAUGCAAGUCGAGCGGAAAGGCCCUUUCGGGGGUACUCGAGCGGCGAACGGGUGAGUAACACGUGAGUAAUCUGCCCCUGGCUUUGGGAUAGCCACCGGAAACGGUGAUUAAUACCGGAUAUGACCAGCUACUGCAUGGUGGUUGGUGGAAAGUUUUUCGGCCAGGGAUGUGCUCGCGGCCUAUCAGCUUGAUGGUGAGGUAAUGGCUCACCAUGGCUUCGACGGGUAGCCGGCCUGAGAGGGUGACCGGUCACACUGGGACUGAGACACGGCCCAGACUCCUACGGGAGGCAGCAGUGGGGAAUAUUGGACAAUGGGCGGAAGCCUGAUCCAGCAACGCCGCGUGAGGGAUGACGGCCUUCGGGUUGUAAACCUCUUUCAGUACCGACGAAGCGCAAGUGACGGUAGGUACAGAAGAAGCACCGGCCAACUACGUGCCAGCCGCCGCCGUAACAC
rnacentral:rRNA from 1 species